GUGCCAGCAGCCGCGGUAAUACGUAGGGUGCGAGCGUUGUCCGGAAUUACUGGGCGUAAAGAGCUCGUAGGUGGUUUGUCGCGUCGUCUGUGAAAUUCCGGGGCUUAACUCCGGGCGUGCAGGCGAUACGGGCUGACUUGAGUGCUGUAGGGGAGACUGGAAUUCCUGGUGUAGCGGUGAAAUGCGCAGAUAUCAGGAGGAACACCGAUGGCGAAGGCAGGUCUCUGGGCAGUAACUGACGCUGAGGAGCGAAAGCAUGGGGAGCGAACAGGAUUAGAUACCCUGGUAGUCCAUGCCGUAAACGUUGGGCGCUAGAUGUGGGGACCUUUCCACGGUUUCCGUGUCGUAGCUAACGCAUUAAGCGCCCCGCCUGGGGAGUACGGCCGCAAGGCUAAAACUCAAAGGAAUUGACGGGGGCCCGCACAAGCGGCGGAGCAUGUGGAUUAAUUCGAUGCAACGCGAAGAACCUUACCUGGGCUUGACAUACACCGGAUCGCUGCAGAGAUGUAGUUUCCCUUGUGGCUGGUGUACAGGUGGUGCAUGGUUGUCGUCAGCUCGUGUCGUGAGAUGUUGGGUUAAGUCCCGCAACGAGCGCAACCCUUGUCUUGUGUUGCCAGCACGUUAUGGUGGGGACUCGCGAGAGACUGCCGGGGUUAACUCGGAGGAAGGUGGGGAUGACGUCAAAUCAUCAUGCCCCUUAUGUCCAGGGCUUCACACAUGCUACAAUGGUCGGUACAGUGGGUUGCGAUACCGUGAGGUGGAGCUAAUCCCUUAAAGCCGGUCUCAGUUCGGAUUGGAGUCUGCAACUCGACUCCAUGAAGUCGGAGUCGCUAGUAAUCGCAGAUCAGCAACGCUGCGGUGAAUACGUUCCCGGGCCUUGUACACACCGCCCGUCAAGUCAUGAAAGUCGGUAACACCCGAAGCCGGUGGCCUAACCUUUUGGAGGGAGCCGUCGAAGGUGGGAUCGGUGAUUGGGACGAAGUCGUAACAAGGUA
rnacentral:rRNA from 1 species